rnacentral:rRNA from 1 species
UACGGGGGGGGCAAGCGUUGUUCGGAAUUACUGGGCGUAAAGGGCUUGUAGGUGGCCAACUAAGUCAGACGUGAAAUCCCUCGGCUUAACCGGGGAACUGCGUCUGAUACUGGAUGGCUUGAGUUUGGGAGAGGGAUGCGGAAUUCCAGGUGUAGCGGUGAAAUGCGUAGAUAUCUGGAGGAACACCGGUGGCGAAGGCGGCAUCCUGGACCGGUAUUGACGCUGAGGCGCGAAAGCCAGGGGAGCAAACGGG